CUUUGCCCAGAGCAAAACCCGAGAAACCGGGUGACGCAGAGUACCGAGGCUAAAUCCCUAAAGGACAUGCCAGUCGAGCCGCCAAA
rnacentral:ncRNA from 1 species